rnacentral:rRNA from 1 species
CAGCAGCCGCGGGAAUACGUAGGGUGCAAGCGUUAAUCGGAAUUACUGGGCGUAAAGCGCGCGCAGGCGGUUUUGUAAGACAGAGGUGAAAUCCCCGGGCUCAACCUGGGAACUGCCUUUGUGACUGCAAGGCUUGAGUGCGGCAGAGGGGGAUGGAAUUCCGCGUGUAGCAGUGAAAUGCGUAGAUAUGCGGAGGAACACCGAUGGCGAAGGCAAUCCCCUGGGCCUGCACUGACGCUCAUGCACGAAAGCGUGGGGAGCAAACAGGAUUAGAUACCCCAGUAGUCCCUGUCUCUUAUAC